CAUGCACCAGUGGGGUUCCUCGGCUUGGCCUGCAGGAUCGGGCUGAAACUGGCUUUCUUACAUCCCCCAAAUUGCUAAAGGGUGCAGGCCCGGCCGAGGGACCCCACUGGUGCACA
rnacentral:pre_miRNA from 1 species